GCCACAUGCAGCACCUCGUUUGGAUGUGUCUAGAGUCUUGGAAGCUUGAAUACCCUACGUUCUCCUACAAAUAGACCUUGAGAGCUUGUUUGGAGGUUCUAGCAGGGGAGCGCAGCAGCGUGUAUAUACUCUUGACUAGAGAACAGUCCUCAUCCGUUGGGGAAGGUCAUCCUCUUCAACCAAAAGUGCAGCUUCUAGAGGGACGCACAUGGAACAGUGAGGGAGGAAGGGGACACACAUCUAGCCAGCCAGAUCACUUGAAUCAACCCUGGCGAUCAAUGGAGUGACAGAUGUCACAAGCCAAGAUCACCCUCACAUCCAUGACUUUGCUUUUUCCUGUAUCUGCCAGAUGGGCAAAAGCUGCAAGAUUUUAUAAUAUAUCUUUGUUGAUGAGAAUAUGGAGAGAUGGAUGCUUUCAAACCCUGUAACUGGGAAGAAUUUUUAAAGGAUAACUUGAGAGUAUCUGUGAAAAAUGUUAAAUUGCAUAUCCUUUGACCUAGCAAUUUCAAUUCGAAAAGGCUAUCUUUCACAAGUGAACAAAGAUUUUCUUUCAUCCAUCCAUGGACAUUUCGGUUGCUUCCGCCUCUCAGCUAUUGUGAGCAGUGCUGCUAUGAACAUGACAUAGAAAAAUCCAUCCUAAAAUCCAUGUGGCAUCAUAAGGAACCCCAAACAGACAAAAAACAAGAGCAAAAUUGGAGGACUUGCACUUCAUAAUGUCAAAAUUUACUACAAAGCCACAGUAAUCAAAACCCUGUGAAACUGGCAGAAGGAAAGACACGUAGAUCAAUCAAACAGAAGAAAGAACCCAGAAACUGAUGCAUAUACGAUCAGUUGAUCUUCAGUGGGGUGCCAUGAUCCUGCAAUGUUGAAGGUACAGUCUUUUCAACAAAUGGUGGUGGGAAAACUGAACAUCCGUGUACAAAAGAAUUAAAUUGGACACUUACC